rnacentral:misc_RNA from 1 species
UCUCCGUUGGUGAACCAGCGGAGGGAUCAUUGCUGGAACUACGUCCCUCACGGGGCGUUCCCAGAUACCCUUUGUGAACGUAUACCUAUAUCGUUGCCUCGGCGCUGGCUGGGAGCUCCUUCCAUGGGCUUCCCCUCUAGGCUUUACACCCCUAGCGGAGCAGGCCCGCCGGUGGCCCUACAAACUCUUGUUUUUAUCACGUAUCUCUUCUGAGUAAUCAUAUACAAAUGAAUCAAAACUUUCAACAACGGAUCUCUUGGUUCUGGCAUCGAUGAAGAACGCAGC